rnacentral:tRNA from 1 species
GGGGUUGUGGCUCAGUGGUUGAGCUCUUGCCUACCAUGUUCGAGGCCCUAGGCUCAAUCCUUAGCACCACA